AGGGUACAAAAAAUUGAUGAAAAUAAUGAGGGGAUGAAAGAAAACAAGGAUGAAGAACUGAUUCGUAUCGGAUAUGGGCUUCCACUGAAUCAUGCGUAUCAGUGCUGCAUAUAUAUUAUUAUGAUUCAGUGUUCAUGACCUAGCACUGAAAGGGUGCUUGCUCUUAUAAAUUUGCUUUUAUCUAGCCGCCUCCUUUGUUUUGUUACUAAUUGAAAUGAUUCAGAGCAUGCCAUUGUCGGUCUUAACCCCAUUGACUCCGUUGACAUGCCGGAAUUGUGGAGCUGCUAUAGCUAAUGCAAGAAAUGUGUUCUGUGAUGUGGCAUAUGUGCCAGUAGGGAUUGAUUAUUCAUGUGCUAAGAAAGAUUUCGGCUUCUUGGUGGAUAUGUGAUACAGAGGAUUUGAGCUACUCCAUUGUUCCGAGGCCACCAUCUAUUUGUUUUCUUUUGAUUAUGUGUUUUAAAGGGGAAAUUGGUGUAAUGAGUUAGCGUUUCUAGUAUUAUUGUAAAUUUUAGAACUUUUUUUUUU
rnacentral:lncRNA from 1 species